rnacentral:lncRNA from 1 species
UUUUAUGCAAAUAAAUCAAGUGAAUAGAAUGCAAAAGACAAGGAAAAGAAGGGACUUUACAACAGGAGUGGAAAGAAAUUAAUUAGAUACCAACAAAUUUUGUGAUAACUGCAAGUAUUUGAAAAGAUUGUUUUCACUUGGUAGAUUUUCUAGCGAUUAAAAAAUCAUAAGACAACAACAAGAAAGUUAGAACAUAAAAUGAAAAUGAAGGAUCGGCCAACCAAGCAUCCACAUCUUAUGCAAUGUCGUAUUUGUCAAAUUUAGAUCGACCUCAUGACGCUCAAAGAUUUCUUGAGCAAAUCUUCAGGUGUGGAUUAUGUAUUUGAUGAAGGUGGGAACCUCAUCAGUGUCUAAUUGAUCGAUCCUGGAUUAUUCGAUCGUCGGACUUUUAAACGCAAGGGCCUUACCGGCCAGUCAAUCGACCGGAGGCUCUGAAUCUUUAGUCAGACGCUCCAUGUAUUCCUUGCUCUGAAAAUAGUCGAUUG